UACGGAGGGAGCAAGCGUUAAUCGGAAUUACUGGGCGUAAAGCGCACGCAGGCGGUUUGUUAAGUCUGAUGUGAAAUCCCCGGGCUCAACCGGGGAACUGCAUUGGAUACUGGCAAGCUAGAGUCUCGUAGAGGGGGGUAGAAUUCCAGGUGUAGCGGUGAAAUGCGUAGAGAUCUGGAGGAAUACCGGUGGCGAAGGCGGCCCCCUGGACGAAGACUGACGCUCAGGUGCGAAAGCGUGGGGAGCAAACAGG
rnacentral:rRNA from 1 species